UGCUAAUUGUGGCAGAGAGAAGAUAAAUAACAUUCUUUUUGUAGAUCUUGUUUCAACUACACAAUGAAGUGGUGAUUUUAAUUUGUCCAUGGAAUUUUUUUAAUCAAGGAUAUCACGGUCGAGGAAUUAUGAGAUAGAUUAUUCUUCCAUAACCUCUCUCUACCGUGUUUCCUUGAUUAACUAAAUUUUAUGGUUAAAAACAUAAUUUCGGAACAAGUCAUUAGUUGUUUUUUGUUUGGAGCUGAUAGUUUAUUUUUAUUUGUAGAUGUUUCUACUUCUAUUUGAAACCUUUUAUUAUUUAUUAAAGAACUAGAUGGACAUCAUGUUGAUUAUGCGGUGGCAUGAGAAAACCAAGGACUAGAGUGACAUGAAGACCAGCAAUUCUAAACAAACAUGCUAAAUUAACACUAAUAUAACAUUUGACAUUCAUGACAAACAUCUUUAUGUUCGUAUAGGUGUGUUGAUGAUAAAAUAUAAUUAGAGACAUAGAUUUGUGUAUUUCUUAUUGUCAUCUGAGUAAUAUAUGGAGAACCAAGUUAAUACAAAAAAAUAUGUCAAAUAUUAUCUAUUAGGGUAAAAACACAUCAUAUAUAUAUAUGGCUUUUAAAUGGUAAGACUUUAGCUUCGAAACUUUAACGGACAAAGUUCCAAUCUUGUAAACAAAAUUAAUAAAUAUAGUCGUCGUCGCCAUUUACUAUGA